GACGAACGCUGGCGGCGUGCCUAAUACAUGCAAGUCGAGCGGACGUUGUUGGAGCUUGCUCCAACAACGUUAGCGGCGGACGGGUGAGUAACACGUGGGCAAACUGCCUUAACGACUGGGAUAACUCCGGGAAACCGGGGCUAAUACCGGAUAACAUCUAGCACCUCCUGGUGCAAGAUUCAAAGAGGGCCUCUGGCUCUCACGUUAAGAUGGGCCCGCGGCGCAUUAGCUAGUUGGGGAGGUAAUGGCUCCCCAAGGCGACGAUGCGUAGCCGACCUGGGAGGGUGAUCGGCCACACUGGGACUGAGACACGGCCCAGGCUCCUACGGGAGGCAGCAGUAGGGAAUCUUCCGCAAUGGACGAAAGUCUGACGGAGCAACGCCGCGUGAGUGAAGAAGGGUUUCGGCUCGUAAAGCUCUGUUAUGAGGGAAGAACACGUACCGUUCGAAUAGGGCGGUACAUUGACGGUACCUCAUCAGAAAGCCACGGCUAACUACGUGCCAGCAGCCGCAGUAA
rnacentral:rRNA from 1 species